rnacentral:lncRNA from 1 species
CAGUAUGGUUUCUAAACAAGCACGUGCUUGAAUGAACAUCAACGACUUUGACAAGAAAUUUUGCCCGUGAUUACAUCAACCUUUGAUCAGGCACCGGAUCUUAUCAUGACAAAAAUGAGGUCGAAUAAUUUUACUGUUGCAAUGUUUGAAGUUUGAAAAUACUUAACACUUUAGUAUUAUUAUACAAUUCAAUGUAAUGCUUCUGCUAUUUGGUUUUAUUCCCUUGCAUGAAAAAUAAAUCAUGUGAAAUUUGAUGAAUGCUGGUAGUUAAAUCUGUAUACAUGUUAGGUGAUAUGUGUUGGUCUGAGUCUUCAAA